UUCUUUUGACAAUUCCGCCAUCCCUUCUUCUUUCUGCCAGGAUGACUCACCCUGGCUCAGGACUAGGGCAUGUGAUUUAGGUUUAAGCCCAUUGAGGUAUUGCAUUUCCUUGGACUCCAAUGACUGGCUCAUUGAUAAUUAUGUGACUUAAUUAGAGCCAAUUAGAGACACAAUGAGACUUUUGCAGGGAAUUCUGGGAAGGAGACUCUCACUAGAUCCUUGCUUGACUUGAGAGGUAUGAGGUUGGAACGGCUGUAGCCAUCUCCAUCUAUUGAGGGAACACGGGUUUGAGAACACAGUCAAGUCAGGACGAGAACAAGAGACGCUGGAUCUUGAGGACAGUGCUUGAGCCCUCGAAUCAAUCAAUGUCUAAACUAAUGGAGGGUCGAUGAAGACAUUUGGCCAGAGGACCCUGAAACACCUGAAUCCCACCUUUGGCUGGCUAGCCCCAUUUCUCAGCAGUGCCUUCACAGGAGCGGCCUGGAGGUUGACAGAACAAGAUGGAAGCCCUUCAAGAAAAUUGUCAAUAAAGAAAGACUGAAAAUGGGCAUAGCUUUCCUGAGUUGACCCUUCCUGGAAAGAGAUUUGAAAUUUCCAGUUUCCAACAAUGUUGAAAACAGGCCCGGAAAUGGAAGGAAGAGAAAAUCGUUAUGGCUCAUACCACAAGCUCUUAUUGAAUGCCUUCAUUAUGCUGCAUCCUACUUGGGCAUUAGAAGUAAAGCGAAGAGUAACACAAAUCUCUGUUCUUGGGGUACCUGCUGUCUAGUGGAAAGAGUAAUAAAGAGAACAUAAGAAUAAAAUAGGAUAAGGUGGUCUUUACCUCACCCCCUAUUUUCCAUGUAUAUCCUUUUCUUUCCCAGAAAUUAUCACGAAUAGGAUUUUAUCAGGUAUUUGUUUGUUUUACUUAUUU
rnacentral:lncRNA from 1 species